rnacentral:rRNA from 1 species
AUUGAACGCUGGCGGCAGGCCUAACACAUGCAAGUCGAACGGUAACAGGAAACAGCUUGCUGUUUCGCUGACGAGUGGCGGACGGGUGAGUAAUGUCUGGGAAACUGCCUGAUGGAGGGGGAUAACUACUGGAAACGGUAGCUAAUACCGCAUAACGUCGCAAGACCAAAGAGGGGGACCUUCGGGCCUCUUGCCAUCGGAUGUGCCCAGAUGGGAUUAGCUAGCAGGUGGGGUAACGGCUCACCUAGGCGACGAUCCCUAGCUGGUCUGAGAGGAUGACCAGCCACACUGGAACUGAGACACGGUCCAGACUCCUACGGGAGGCAGCAGUGGGGAAUAUUGCACAAUGGGCGCAAGCCUGAUGCAGCCAUGCCGCGUGUAUGAAGAAGGCCUUCGGGUUGUAAAGUACUUUCAGCGGGGAGGAAAGGAGUAAAGUUAAUACCUUUGCUCAUUGACGUUACCCGCAGAAGAAGCACCGGCUAACUCCGUG